CUUGCUGAAUCUAGGUAAUCUCCCACCAACCUGUGUCAUGUCCAAUAAAAUCCUCCCCUCCCACUAAUCCUGAUUAAGGUGCAGGACAUCCUUUGCAAAAGUGCAGAAUAAAAAGGGAAUGCAGAAUAAAAUUGCAAUAAAGACUAAAAGAAAUGCUUUCAUCUUGAAAUCGGUGGAAUGUCAUGUGCCCCAGAAACCACAGAGUUGAGGGAAAGAUGUGGGAAUAUUACUGGUCAUGCUGGUUGUAGAAUCUUUGGGUUGUAGUCCAAAAACUGAAACCAUAUUUCUAAGCUCUAACCAAGAAUUGGGAAAGUCUCUGUCAUUUACAAUAGAUAGUAUGAGCUAAAUCAGUGGUUCUCAACCUGGUGUCCCCAGAUAUGCUUGGCCUACAACUCCCAGAAAUCCCAGCCAGUUUACCAGCGGUUAGGAUUUCUGGGAGUUGAAUGCCAAAAACAUUUGGGGACCCCAGGUUGAGAACCACUUAGCUAGAUGGAGCAGUGGUCCCAUUCAUAGCAGCUUGCUCUCUUUUGUCAAAUGAGUCAUUUAUUUACUUACUAUAUUUCUACCCCGCUCUAUCACACCCUCCGAGCAGCUUAUAGUUUUGGCAAUCAUUCAGUGCCACAUUGCAAUACAAAAUAUAAAUACAACACAUUAAACAUUAAAAUCAAAAUCAAAAUAAAACAUAUAAAUACAAUUUAAAACUGUUAAUACAUAGCACCUAGUCCCGUUGUCGUCAUUCAUGCCACUUCAUUUAUGUCUAUUCUGUACUGCACUGUGGUUAUGUUAUUCCUCAAACACCUGGUUCCACAGUCAGGUCUUAACAUUUUUUCUUGAAAACCAGGAGGGAGGGGUGCGAUAUAACAUCUUUGUGGAGGGAGUUCCCAGGAGUUAUGCUGGAAGAAGAGCACAUUAUUGUGUGCAAGUAGUGCACCAGUUUUCCAAAGCCACCGUAGACCGCAGUGCAAUGUUCUGUGUCAAAUGUGCCAAAGUGUACAAUAAAUAGGGGGAAAUCUAUUUUUAUCCUUGCACACAGGAAACAAAUCUAUACUAAAGACACCUUCUCACACUAGUUAGCUGAAUAUGUGACUUGCAUGCUAUUGCUUUGGGCUUAGUCAGCACAGAGGGUGGGUGCUUGAUACAGCUGCCCCUGAUUUAACAAGACACAAUGUGACCCACGCAUCAGAAUUCCACCAAAGGAGAUUUGUUUCCAUAAUAGACAAGGGAAAGCAAUGCCUUUGACAAGAGCAUUUGCAGCUGCCCCUCUGUAUUAAAGGAUUAUCACAGAAUGUCUACGCUCAACAUUGCUAGAGAAAUUAUAUUGUUUAGCUGGUAUUGCAUCAUCUGACAUCCGCUGGGAAGUAGCAGCCAGAAAUGAAAAGACCAAGGCAUUGACAUCUCCAGCCCAUCCUCUAUUCGAAUAUCAGCCUGCAAGCCAAUGUCUUAAAUUGAGAAACAGCUUCCUGAGAUCAACAGAGAUACUUGCAGAAACACCUCAGCAAACGAGAGUCCAAAAGAGUGCCGGGGGGGGGGGGAGAAGACAUCAUUCCACCCUGUCUCCUGUUUCAUCAGUUGAGAGCCCCUCCCCCCAAGGACUAACUGCCGCCCUGGGGCCAGAGUCAAGAAAGGGGGCCAGGAAGACAUCAUUCCACCAUGUCUCCUAUGUCAAUAUAACAAUAUAAUAAUAUAUAAUACUAAUAUUAUGCUAUACUAAUAAUAUAAUAAAUUGUAUAUACAUAUAAUAUUGAUAAUAAUAUUAUAAUGUAAUAAAAUAUAAUAACUAAACACUAUUAUAAUUGUAUAUUAUAUAUUACAUGUAAUAUUACUAAUAAAAUUCCAGCAUAGAAGUAUAGUACAAUAUAGUAAUGUAUUAUGCUUGUAUUGUGCUAUGCCAAUAAUAUAAUAUAUUGUAUGUACCUAUAACUUGUAAGCCGCCCUGAGUUCCCUUCAGGGUGAGAAGGGCAGGAUAUAAAUGUCACUAAUAAAUAAUAAAAGUGGCAGGCUAGAACCCAGAACCUCAAGCCAUGACUGAUACUGAAUGAGAGACCCCCCUCCUGGGCACACGGAAGACUGGGCAACUUGGAAGGUGCUGAACAGACUGUGCUCUGGCACCAAGAGAUGCAGAGCUAAUCUUAAGAAAUGGGGCUACAAAGCGGAGUCCACGACAUAAGUGUGUAGAGAAGAGCAAACCACAGACCACUUACUACAAUGUGGUCUGAGCCCUGCCACAUGCACAAUGGAGGCCCUUCUUACAGUCACACCAGAGGCAUUUGAAGUGGCCAGAUUCUGGUCAAAGGACAUUUAGUAUAACACCAAGUUUUUAACUUUGUUUGUGGUUUUUCUGUUCAUUAGAACUGUAUUCCCAAUUCGCUUCUGACACAAUAAAUAGACCUAUUGACAGUACUCAGGUAUUUGCAAGGUAACUUUCCCCUCAUUAUUUGUACCUUGCUAAGUUCUUGUGUUUGACUUAGUCCUCCCACAGCUGCAAAGUAAAAAGCUCUAUAUUUUCUUCCAAAAAAAGUAAAAGGGGCAUUGAUUUCUUGAUCACUGUGAUUUGAAAUGAUCUCCAUAAGAUUGCAUAAGUUGUUUCUAUUCAUACCAUGGGACUGUCUUCUGCUCUCUCUGUCUUAUUCCCUUGCCCCAAACCAAGUCCAGAGAGUUCACUCAAACAGCUUUCAAGAAUAUAAAGAAGGCUGUGGAGAAGAUCUGGAGGAUAUAGCCCGGGCUGUAGUGCAGGCGGGAGAGCAAGCCAGCUGCAAUUAACUGCAAUGAAUCACUCUGACCAGGAGGUCAUGAGUUCGCGGCCGCUCGGAGCCUAUGUUUGUUUGUCUUUGUUCUAUGAUAAAAGGCAUUGAAUGUUUGCCUAUAUGUGUAAUGUGAUCCGCCCUGAGUCCCCUUCGGGGUGAGAAGGGCGGAAUAUAAAUGCUGUAAAUAAAUAAAUAAAUAAAUUCAGCAAGAAAUGUUUAUUGGACAAACAAAUUCUAAUAUACACUUCUGAAGAAAGCAAGACAUAACCUCUCAUAUUUGGCUUUCUUUGACACACCUAUGGAUUGGGUUGUUUUAAUAGCUUGUUAAUGAUUUGUUUAUUAGCCUUGCUAUGAUUUUAUUUAUGUUAUGUUAUAAUGAUUUAGAGUGAAAGCAUAUACACAUGCACCCACUCUGAAGCAAGUCCUAUGAAGUAUUAUGGAACUUAAGUCAACAAAUAGUCCAGUGCAGAUUUAACCAUCGAAAACAUUUUCCGAAAAAAAAUGUUACUUUUGGACGUUAGCAUAAUUGGAGCAUUUUGAGAGACUGAAAAAAUCAUAAAAGGGAUGCUGAAUCCAGAGGUUAAGUAGCAAAAGGUGAGGGUCUCAUACAAGGAGCUUAUUAAUUGAAUGUGACAUGUAACACCUUCAUAUCUUGUAUUGAAUAUUCCCGCAAAUUCAUUAAACUCUAUUUCCUCUUAGUAAAUUUUCACCAGGAUUAUAUUGCAUCUCUCUUUUUCUCUUUCUUUUAUUCUCUCUCUCUCUCUCUUUUCUGCUUUUGAGCACCAAUUUAGCCAAAUGAAUGGGAAAGGCGUGAUAAAAUUACACACCAAAAUAAUAAAUAAUAGAAACCAUUUCCUUCUCCUUGGAGCCAAGACAUUCACUCUGGCGCUUCCUGACAGGGGAAAGCAGCGGGAGCCAGCUAAUGAGGCAAGUCAUCCAUUAUCAUUGGAGGGUUUAUCCUGAUUUAGUUAUCUGAAUCAAAAUGACACAUUUAAGAGGAAAGCUCAUGGGAACUUGACUGAAAAUGUUAUGUUGAUGCAAGGCAUUGAUCUGUCUGUAAGUGCUUCUAGGUUGCCAUGCCAACAAUGAAAAGGAACAACAACAUCAAAAAACCAUCCAGGGGUUAAAGGCCAGGGUUUAAGGAAACUAUUAGUAGGGCAGUUGUAUACUUUUGAUUAUCAGCAAAUUUUGAUGUUGUCCAGACUCUGAGUUCUUCAGUAUAUUCAAGCUUACAAAAUUUCUCUCUCUCUCUCUCUCUCUCUCUCUCUCUCUCUCUCUCUCUCUCUCUCCAUGUUAUGAACCAUUUUCCUCUCUCAUUCUAGGAUUAUUAUAAAAUCAACAUCUGCAGGUCCAUCCUGUGUUGCUUAUUAAGUUUCUUUCAACAAGAAUAGAAACAAUGGGUGACUGCUGAAAUACCAGUGCUUCUUUUGGUUUUUGUAUAGAAUUAUAGCAUCAGAGUUGGAAGAAACCACAAGGGCCAUCCAGUCGAACCCCUGCCCUGUGGAACAAAACAAUCAAAGGACCCCUGACAGGUGGCUAUCCAGCCUCUACUUAAAAACCUCCAAAUGAUGAGACUUCACCAUAUUCCAAGGCAGCAUAUUCCACUGUCAAGUGACUCUUACUCUCUGAAAGAUCUUUCUAAUAUUUAGGUGUAAUCUCUUUUCCUGCCAUUUGAAUCCAUGUUGUACCACUUCAUCACAUAGGCUUUCAGACCUGUCAUAGGAUGCUGAAAAGAGCCCACUGGAUCCCUUCACAUGACACACCACUCCUUGCAGUGGGGUUCUGUCUAGGAACUGUGCUCAUUGCCAGCAACGGGGAUAGCAUAGGAGAAAGCUGGGCAGCAACACUUUCUCCUGCGUGAUGGGGAAGGCGCAGCUGCGGGCAAUGUGGGGUGAUGGAUUCCCCCACUGCCCCCAUAGAUUUGCAGCGAUUCCUGGCAAAUCCCCUGCUGUCGCCUGUGUUACGGAACUAAAUGGGAUGAGGUUCCUAGUCUCCAGAGCAUAAGCUUGCCCCUCCUUAAUGUGACAUCCUUUCAAAUAUUUUUAUCUUCUUUUUUAUUAAGAUAUAAUUGAUAUUGUAAAACUACAUAUAAAAUACAUAUAGGAAUGCACAAACUACAAAUAUAUGGAGCGAAACAUACAGGCAUGCAUAUAUACAAAACUAACAGCUAAAAACGUCUACUACAACUCUAUAACUGAUUAACAUGGGAACAUUAAUGACUUCCUACUUGCCUUUAUGCUAAAAUGCAAGUCGAAUGUAAUAUUUCAUAUCAGAUUUCACUGGUGAAGAUCCAGACAGCCCUAAACAGAAAAUGAAUUUGGGUUUGGAUGGUCUGCUAAUAUAACUAAAUCGAUGAUCCAAGAAUGCUAGUGAUAAUAUGACUAGAUGAGAUUUCCAUGGUUGUGAGGUUGUGCCUGGUAUUGUAUUUGUAUCUUAUGCAUGCAUGUGUUCCCUGGUGAAACUGACAUUUUUAUCUGAUGUGGAAUGUCUGCAUUGAAUUCAAGGUUGGCAAUCCAGAAUUGUUCAUGUGAUUCAGGUCUGAAUGAGCAUGAAGGAAUGAAGGACUGACAUUGUAUUAUUACUAGAUUAUCUUUAAGAUUAUUACUGUUGUUGCCUUUGAGAGCUCGGACUUAAUUUCUCUUCCUAUAUGGCCCAUAUAGUAGUAUAUUUUGAUGGGACCUCUGAUCAUUGGGCAAGAUCCAAUUAGAAACCUUCAAUUAGAAAUGAAAUAGAAAUAGUAUGAGGGCAAUCUCACCCAGAGGGCAGGGAGUUACCUACAAACCAUUUUUGGGAAGCUCUAUGGCAUACAAUGUUGAGUGGAAUGAGGGGAAUUACAUCAUACAGGUACUGCAGUGCCAAUACCAGUUCCACACUGGGUUUAGAUUAUGCCUGGAUCCCACAUUAAAUUCUAGUGACAUAAAUUCUUGAACUUAUGACCCUGACAUUGCUCUUGGUUGGUGCAACAAUUAAUGCAACAAUAUUUUUACACUCUCUCCCACCACAAUGCCCCCCCCCCCCAAAAAAAAACCCAGGUUGAACAGGUUCAGACAGAUACUUGUGCAACAUGACUCCAGAGAUGACCAAUUUUUAUUUGCUAAAGACUUAAAAAUACUGCUACAUUAUUUUUAUACCAGUUGACACAAGUGAUUCAUGAAGUAACCUUGAAUUUACUCAGUGUCCUUCCAGGAUAGAGUUGAAAAGAUUUAAAAGUGUGAUCUCUUGUUACAAGUUAAAAGGAAGCAUCACAUACCAGGCAUCACAAAUGGGAUUAAUUCCCUCCUUCCAACUAUUACAAGAGUGAGGUCAUUCUCAUUUUGCCGACACAAUAUUAUUCAAAGUAAAAAAAAAAAAAAUGAGCGGUGUGAAUUUUGAAUUUAAAGCCUAUGUUUAUUUUUUAAAAAUACAGAUCUUUAUCACUCUUUUCUGAUGCUGGUAUGUAAACAACCCAUCAGAAUAAUCAUUCUUCUUGGGGCUCUUUUCUACAAUAUCAGAAAUUAUUUACAACUGAGAAAUCCAAUGUUUUUGAAAGUCACUAGUGUCAACAAUUAAAUUAUUGUUGUUGUCAGCAUUAAUAAUGGAUAAUUUGUCUUGCUACUGUCCAUAUACACACCUCAUUUUCUUAUACCUUUAUAUACAGUUUUAGUUCAGAUUUCCCACUGGUGCACCCUGGAAGAUUUCCAGUUCAUUCACUAUUAAGGAAACUUAAUAGAGCUAAAGAAUUGAGAGAAUUUGUAAAGGGAGAAGAUGAAAGCCAAAAAGAAGGGAUUUCCUUCAGGGAGACUGGGGAAUGGAUGUAUAGCACAGCUUGGGUGAUGAAAAUGGAAAAUGGGCACUGACAUACAGAGAAGAACAGCAGCAUUUUUCAAGUGCAGUUCUUAUGUAUGUGUCAGACUCCCAUCCAAGGGACUAGUUAUUUUAAUCAAUGUAUCAAUAGACAGGUCCAACUUGCAGGGUCCUGGGGCUCUCACUAGACUGUCUGACAAUGGGCCCAGGAAGGGCCAGUCAUAAUCCAGCCAUUAAUUUUUUUUCUGUUGGAUUUAUCUGGGAGUUUUUAGUGUUUGAGGACACUGGGCUUCAUCAGAGACCGUACAUGCAAAAGGACAGUAAGAGUUUCAACAGGGUUAUUGUCCCCACACAGCAGGAUACUUAAUCCCAUCAGCAGCCAUUGCCUCCUCCAUCGCUCAGAGACCUGCCAGCCCCUCUUUCAUCAUUGGUCAGAGGGAGAAUUUGCAUCAGCACUCUUUCAUUGGCCAAGGCGUGUCAACCUCCCACCUCUCCAGGGAGCCCCUGCCAAUUACAGCAAGGCUGGGUCCAGACAGGGGCAGUGGGAAUUUUGAACCUGAAAAACUGUAUAAAAGUGCAUGCUUUGCUAUGUUAUGUAUCUCAUUCUAUUUUUGGCGAACUAUCGCAGGCUGGCAUCACUUUCAGCUGAAAUUAAAUAAAAUUCCUCGGUGGCUUCUGCUUCGA